rnacentral:rRNA from 1 species
CAGCAGCCGCGGGAAUACGAGGGGGGCAAGCGUUGUUCGGAAUUAUUGGGCGUAAAGGGCGCGUAGGCGGUUUGGCAAGUUUGGUGUGAAAUCUUCGGGCUCAACUCGAAGUCUGCACCGAAAACUGCCGGGCUUGAGUAUGGGAGAGGUGAGUGGAAUUUCCGGUGUAGCGGUGAAAUGCGUAGAUAUCGGAAGGAACACCUGUGGCGAAAGCGGCUCACUGGACCAUUACUGACGCUGAGGCGCGAAAGCUAGGGGAGCAAACAGGAUUAGAUACCCCCGUAGUCCCUGUCUCUUAUAC